ensembl:misc_RNA predicted gene, 27505
CACCCUGGACUUUGCCUAGAUAUGGUGCUAACCUCUCCUGUGAGCUCACUCUGCCCUCUCUCCUCCCUCUUAACUCUGAGGUUGUCCAUCCCUUAAAACCUUUCUGGUCAUCUGGUAAGCUUGGGGAAGUCAGGA